GUACAUAUAGUAAGUCAGCUUAGUCUCGGUUUAGUGCUUUCAUUUUAUGUUAAUUAACUUGGUUGCUUAAACAUUAGUCUGGCAUAUAUCUAGACAUUUAUCCCCUAUAAAAUAAAUUUAUGAAUUCGGGCAAAUAUUGAUGCAUCAACGAAUUUUUGGAUGAAUUCUCUUAUCGCUAUAUUUUCUUCUGAGUUACAAUGGGGUUCAAGGAGAGACAAAGUUGUCCAAACUGGAAGACUUAGAGAUAGAGAAACAACUUCACCUUUUGAACAAACUAGCAGUCAAAACAAUUAAGACUAUAUAUGGUGAUACAUAUGAUUGUGUGGAUUUCUAUAAACAACCUGCAUUCGAUCAUCCGUUAUUGAAGAAUCAUAAUUUUCAUCCCCAGGCAUGUCUCUUAAAUGUCCAUUUUAUGUUGAGCUUUCUAGAAAUGCAUAUACGAUAUUGUGAAUUUGUGAUGCAUAAUUUAGUUUUAAAUCUCCAGAUGAAACCUACUUUAGCGACAACAAAGCAAAAUGCAGGUAACUCGUCAACUAGUCCGGCAUCGAGGAUAUGGUUAAAUGGCAAAGGUUGUGCCCCUAGAACAGUUCCAAUUAAAAGAAUUACAAAAGAAGAUCUUAUCAAGUAUGCCACCACCGGAAGAUGUCACAGUUAAUGCUCAAUUGACUGCGACUAACAACAAUAGUGAGCCAAAAGGAAUAUAAAGAUCUUCACAAGGAUACAAGG